rnacentral:tRNA from 1 species
GCGCAGGCAACGGUUACUUCACCUGAUUCGGGUUCAGGCAGGGCCGGUUCGAUUCCGGCACGCCGUG